CCAUACAGCAAGUAGACAAGGAGAAAGUGAACACAAAGAACUGAUAUCUCAAGAGAAAACCAAGGCAAGUCGAGAAAGGGAAGGGGCAUUUGAGAAACAUAUCUGUGGAAUCACUGAAGAGCUGGUCCACCAUGAAACGGGUUCCAAAAUGUAGAGUAUAAGCAACUAGUGGAGGUGCUAGAAACGGCACAGCUGUCACCAAGAGAAGGCCUACUUUGAAAAGCAGAUGGCAGGAGUUUUGAAUACAAAAAAGGAGUUGCCUGGGCAGAUGGCAGUAGACAAGGCAUGAAGAAAUGAAGGUCUCAACAGAGACGCAGGAGGCAGAACAGAAUAUGUAAGAACAAGGGUUCAAGAAGAGAGAGAGACAUGAGCAAAGUCCUGGCUUCAGAGAGUCAGUAGCCGGGGAUCUGGUAGAGAGUCCCUGCCUCUGGGAUGAGCCCUUCCUCCACAAAAUAUCUGUCCAGCCAUACUCCUCAGUCAGACAGCACUGUGAAGGUUCACAUGGCAUUUCGUAAAGCCUGUGGGGCUCCCCCAAAACACUCUUCCCUAUCCAUCUGGCAAACAUUACUGUCAAAUGUAUCAAAAACUUAUCAUAUAACACUUCCAGGUUUUUC
rnacentral:lncRNA from 1 species